rnacentral:rRNA from 1 species
GAUGAACGCUGGCGGCGUGCCUAAUACAUGCAAGUCGAGCGAACAGACGAGGAGCUUGCUCCUCUGACGUUAGCGGCGGACGGGUGAGUAACACGUGGAUAACCUACCUAUAAGACUGGGAUAACUUCGGGAAACCGGAGCUAAUACCGGAUAAUAUAUUGAACCGCAUGGUUCAAUAGUGAAAGACGGUUUUGCUGUCAAUUAUAGAUGGAUCCGCGCCGCAUUAGCUAGUUGGUAAGGUAACGGCUUACCAAGGCGACGAUGCGUAGCCGACCUGAGAGGGUGAUCGGCCACACUGGAACUGAGACACGGUCCAGACUCCUACGGGAGGCAGCAGUAGGGAAUCUUCCGCAAUGGGCGAAAGCUUGACGGAGCAACGCCGCGUGAGUGAUGAAGGUCUUCGGAUCGUAAAACUCUGUUAUUAGGGAAGAACAAAUGUGUAAGUAACUAUGCACGUCUUGACGGUACCUAAUCAGAAAGCCACGGCUAACUACGUG